CGAGCCAAAGAGAAAACAAUGGUCAAGCCGCACUUGCGCCACUACCAGGUGGUCGGCCGCGAGUCGCCCUCGGAGAAGAACCCUGAGCCGACUGUGUACAAGUUUGAGGUGUUCGCCCCAAACUUCGUCGUCGCCAAGAGCCGUUUCUGGCGCAUGAUGAGGGUCAAGAACAAGGUCAAGGCCACGCACGGUGACGUGCUCUCCUGCAAGGUCGUGAAGGAUGCGAAGCUGGUGGCGCGCAACUACCUGGUCGACAUCGCGUACUACAGCCAGCGCUGCGGCUACACGCGCAUGGUCAAGGAGUUCCGCGACGUCUCCAAGACCGGCGCCGUGAGCCAGGCGUACCACGACCUGGCCUCCCGCCACCGCGCCCGCUACCACAACAUCGAGGUGCUGAACGUGAAGAGCAUCCCGGACCACGAGGUGAAGCACCUGAGCAUUGCCCAAUACCACGCUCCAAACCUGUCCUUCCCGCUCCUGCAGCGCCGCAUCAAGGCAGCCCGCAAGGACCGUGCCAUCUUCGUCAAGAAGAACACGAAGCGCGCGGUGGUGGCGUGAGGAAGGAGCUGGUGAAGCAAGAACAGGUGGCAGAGGAGAAAGGGAGUGUACCAGCACAAACAUUCGCGCACGCAUAUGAUUGCAGACACAUGUGUGUGUAUGGGAUCGUAUGCGUAUGUGAUUGUGUGUAUGGAAACGCCCACUCCCUCUGCCCUCUUCCCUUGUCUCCUGGCUGCUAGUAGGGGGUGCAGGUAUCGUGUGUGCGUGUUUGUGUGUCGGUCUCGUUGUCGGCGCAGGCACGUGCUUGCCAAGCACGAUUGUUACGGCUGUCUCGUUCUUCGCGGGUUGCGUGUGUGCGCAACUGCCGAUGCUCUCUCGCCUUUCGUUUUUCUCGCUCCCUCCCCUGGAUCUUGCUGGAUUGCGUCGUUUUGUUGGUUCGCGAUGGUGAUCCAGCGGCGUUGCCCCCCCCCCGUCGACACACAUAUGCACACAUGCUAUUGCUGCCGGGCGGGGGAACAUCGGCACUGGCCACCGGCGACAAGCAGUGAAGGAAGGGGAUGGGGAAAGCGAGAAAAAGAGAGGCGGCGGGCAACGGCAGCUGAAGGAGACGGCGCGCCGCUCCGCUUGGCGCGUGUUUCGUGAAGGUUCUCGGACUUUGGCGUGACUUUAUGGUUCGCGUGCUUCGUUUCUUCGCUUCCUCUUUUCGUGCUUGUUUCCGUCAUUUUACGCGCCAAAAC
rnacentral:misc_RNA from 1 species